rnacentral:tmRNA from 1 species
GGGGUUGUACUGGUUUCGACGGGGGUUUUGAAGUUGAAGAAGCCAUUCGCGGGCCGGGACCGCGCAGUAAACCGGAAACUAAAUAUAAACGCAGACGAAAAUUUAGCGUACGCAGCCUAAUGGCUGCUGUCGACCUUAGGUUACUCACAGCUUAAGUCAUCGGCAUCAAAUUAUGUGAGGCACUUCUUACCCAAAGCUUUGAGGGUGGGGAAGAACUUAUGAAGCUACUAAAGUCUGAAGCCUGUCAUUAGGCGUCAGAUGGAGGGAAUGUCAAAAUAAUGACUGUGAUGGGAGAUGCUUCAAGGGAUAGGCUUUCGGACAGGGGUUCGAUUCCCCUCAGCUCCAU